UUGAACUGAAGAGUUUGAUCAUGGCUCAGAUUGAACGCUGGCGGCAGGCCUAACACAUGCAAGUCGAGCGGCAGCACGGGUACUUGUACCUGGUGGCGAGCGGCGGACGGGUGAGUAAUGCCUAG
rnacentral:rRNA from 1 species